GGCCAAGGUAAAGACGUGACAGAAUGUUGUUAUUUUUGAAUACAUGUACGUAAAUUAAUAAAAGGAAGACACCACUGAUUUUUAUGUUGGAAGCCUAUGACCAAAUGCUGACUUAGGUGAGGUGCCCGCUGAGGCAAAGUGGCAGAUGGAUGUCCCCCAUGAUCUGAUAUUUUGGGAUAUCAACACAGACACAAAACUACCUCCACUGACAGAACAGAAAAUAAGAGACUACUUGGAGCUGUUCUCUCAAGAACUGAAGAGAAAGUCCCUAGAUCUUUACCAUGGGAAGUUCUUGCGGCCAUACGUGCUGCCCAUAAUCCUUCAGAUGACAUGACCUUCAUCCGUAGCCGAGUCUCUGCUGAAAUGUCCAAGAAGGCUGUGUAUGUGGUCCAGGUCAAGUUGGAUAAGUUUGGGGUGGUCCAGGAGUCUGAAUGCGAGUGCGGUGCUGGUGAAGGACCUGAAGCCCACUGCAAGCAUGUUGCUCUGGUGCUCUAUGUUCUUACUCAUGUCAAGACUGGCAUAGUUACUAAGGAAACAUGCACCCAGAAACUUAUGACAUUCCACCAGGCAAAACAAUACAGUGGCUCACCAGUCAAGAUAGAGGAGUUGGUUUUGCGUGACUCGCAAGCCUUGCAGUCCCUACGUGACUUUGACCCUAGGCCAGUAUCAUCUCUAGUUAGGACUGCCAAGGCUGCUGAUUUAUUCAGAAGUGUGUGGGUCAACAACCCCCAUCCCAACCUGCAAGUCCACCACCACUUUGCCUCGGCCAAUGUGUAUGCCCAUGACCAUGACUACCUCAAGGAUACCCCUGAGGAACACUUCCUGAACAGCAUUGGCCUAGGCUGUGUGACACCAGCCUACUGUGAAGACAUCCAGCCCUGAACAGUUGGACAAAGUACAAACAAGCUGUGGAAGACCGAACGUGUCAUAAGAAUUCAUUCUUCGAAUUUCGGCCGUAUAUGCAAACGCACAGACCUCACAAACAGCACACAGCUUGCUGUCAGCCUUAUGACCAUGUACGAUCUCAACACAGAUGCCAUUAAGCACGUGGCAAGAAUAUUAGGACUCG